UACGUAGGGACCGAGCGUUGUCCGGAUUCAUUGGGCGUAAAGAGCUCGUAGGCGGCUAUUCAAGUCGAACGUGAAAUCUCGGAGCUCAACUCCGAAACUGCGUUCGAUACUGGGUAGCUAGAGUCUGGUAGGGGGAUCUGGAAUUCCUGGUGUAGCGGUGGAAUGCGCAGAUAUCAGGAGGAACACCGGUGGCGAAGGCGGGAUCCUGGGCCAGUACUGACGCUGAGGAGCGAAGGCGUGGGGAGCAAACAGG
rnacentral:rRNA from 1 species